rnacentral:lncRNA from 1 species
UGCACAUCAGAUUGCACAUCAACUUCAACAUUACCAACUCCAUCUCCAACUUUCUCUUCUAUAUCACAUUCAAUGUGCACAUCAACCAAACCUUCCAUAAAAUCAUUGACAACAUCACCAUCAACAUCAUCUUCAGCAACAUCAUUAGCAACCCCUUCACAAUCAUUAAUAUCAUCAUUAACAGCCCCUUCACACUCAAUUUCCCCUUCAACAACAUCAUUACCAACAUCAUUAAGAUCAUCAUUAGCAGACCCUUCACACUCAAUUUCCCCUUCAACAACAUCAUUACCCACAUCAUUAAGAUCAUCAUUAGCAGACCCUUCACACUCAAUUUCCCCUUCAACAACAUCAUUAACAACAUCAUUAACAUCCUAAUUAAUAGCCCCUUCACACUCAAUUUCCCCUUCAACAA